rnacentral:rRNA from 1 species
UACGUAGGGACCGAGCGUUGUCCGGAAUCACUGGGCUUAAAGCGCGUGUAGGCGGGAGGGCACGUCCGUCGCUGAAAUCCCCCGGCUCAACCGGGGAACGGGCGCGGAUACGACCUUCCUGGAGGGGCGUAGGGGGACCUGGAACUUCCGGUGGAGCGGUGAAAUGCGUUGAGAUCGGAAGGAACGCCCGUGGCGAAAGCGAGGUCCUGGACGCCUACUGACGCUGAGACGCGAAAGCCAGGGGAGCGAACGGG